UUGAUCUGAAUUGUUCUAUGUUGGAGCUUCUAUGCUUCAUACCUGAGCAUUCUAGAUCAAUUCCAUCCUUGCUUGGACCCUUUAUUAAGAGCCCCAGUAGAGGUACUUGUGCUUGCUGAUUAGGAUAUACGGCUGAGUAUAAAUUGCAUUUUAAGCUCAGGUAAAUACUUUAACUUAUUUUCCCUAUACGGGCUUGGGAUACGGUAUUAUAAUAAUACCGCUUGGUCGAGUAUUGAAUGUUUAACCGGAUUGUAAUUAAAUUAUUGAGGUAACCCGUUUUAAUCUGUCUUGUUUGAAAUAAAGGCCUUUAGGGGUUAAUGACCAUGUCCCGGAUAUCCGUGGCAUCAUUAUAAAAUAAAAUUGGCCACGUCUUAUGCACGGGGUGUAGGCAUACACCUGACAGUUGCAUAAGGGAAACGGUAUCUCACUCUCUUGUGGGCCUAUACUUGUGGUGGGUCUGUUAAUCUUGACUCGGUUUCUAACAUCGAGCCCUAAAUGUAUAACGAACAUGUAAAUCUGUAUACAAGAUUUUUUUUAUAUAAUUGUCCCAAGUUAUAAAAAGAUAUUUGUGCCUUGUGCAUUCAAAUCAAUUUUCUAAAACAUUUUCAAAAUGAGUCAGUUAAUUGUAUUUACCAGUGUAAACUGACGUAUUUUCCAAAAAGAUUAAGUGACAGGUAGUGUACGUAAUUGGCUGGGAGCUCAGGGCGUUAAUAGGGAAUCUUGCAAGUUCAAGAUGCCUAAAGUCUGUUGAACAGUGUUAUCUUUCUGUUUUAAGAUCCGCCUGUGGAUCCAUCUUACAUUCCGUUGUAAUAUUUGAUAUUACUUUUGAAUCGGUUUGUAAUAUGAUUACUUUU
rnacentral:lncRNA from 1 species